rnacentral:rRNA from 1 species
AGAGUUUGAUCAUGGCUCAGAUUGGACGCUGGCGGCAUGCCUUACACAUGCAAGUCGAACGGCAGCGCGGGAGCAAUCCUGGCGGCGAGUGGCGAACGGGUGAGUAAUAUAUCGGAACGUGCCCUAGAGUGGGGGAUAACCAGUCGAAAGACUGGCUAAUACCGCAUACGAUCUAAGGAUGAAAGUGGGGGAUCGCAAGACCUCAUGCUCGUGGAGCGGCCGAUAUCUGAUUAGCUAGUUGGUGGGGUAAGAGCCCACCAAGGCGACGAUCAGUAGCUGGUCUGAGAGGACGACCAGCCACACUGGGACUGAGACACGGUCCAGACUCCUACGGGAGGCAGCAGUGGGGAAUAUUGGACAAUGGGCGCAAGCCUGAUCCAACCAUGCCGCGUGUGUGAAGAAGGCCUUCGGGUUGUAAAGCACUUUUGUCCGGAAAGAAAAGCAUUGGAUUAAUACUCGGGUGUUAUGACGGUACCGGAAGAAUAAGCACCGGCUAACUACGUGCCAGCAGCCGCGGCGGUAAUAC